rnacentral:rRNA from 1 species
GGUGAACGCUGGCGGCGUGCCUAAUACAUGCAAGUCGAGCGAGCGGAACCAACAGAUUUACUUCGGUAAUGACGUUGGGAAAGCGAGCGGCGGAUGGGUGAGUAACACGUGGGGAACCUGCCCCUAAGUCUGGGAUACCAUUUGGAAACAGGUGCUAAUACCGCAUAUUUCUAAUCGUCUCCUGACGAACGGAAGAAAGGUGGCUUCGGCUACCGCUUAUGGAUGGACCCGCGGCGUAUUAGCUAGUUGGUGAGGUAAUGGCUCACCAAGGCGAUGAUACGUAGCCGACCUGAGAGGGUGAUCGGCCACACUGGGACUGAGACACGGCCUAG